GACGAACGCUGGCGGCGUGCUUAACACAUGCAAGUCGAACGGAAAGGCCUGCUUUCCCUUGUGGAUUGCGGGUACUCGAGUGGCGAACGGGUGAGUAACACGUGAGUGAUCUGCCCCCAACUUGGUUAUAAGCCUGGGAAACUGGGUCUAAUUCCCGAUAGGACUGCAGGGUGGUGCCUGUGGUGGAAAACGAUUUUCUAGUGGUUGGGGAUGAGCCGCCGGCCUAUCAGCUUGUUGGUGGGGUAAUGGCCUACCAAGGCGGGGACGGGUAGCCGGCCUGAGAGGGUGGACGGCCACAUUGGGACUGGGAUACGGCCCAGACGCCUACGGGAGGCAGCAGUGGGGAAUAUUGCACAAUGGGCGGAAGCCUGAUGCAGCGACGCCGCGUGGGGGAUGACGGCCUUCGGGUUGUAAACUCCUUUCGACCGCGAGGAAGCCACCUGGUUGGAAGGGUGGUGACGGUAGUGGUAGAAGAAGCACCGGCUAACUACGUG
rnacentral:rRNA from 1 species